AACUUGGAGAUAGCUGGUUCUCUCCGAAAUAGCUUUAGGGCUAGCCUCGAGGUAAAGAGUCAUGGAGGUAGAGCACUGUUUGGACUAGGGGCCCUUCUCGGGUUACCGAAUUCAGAUAAACUCCGAAUGCCAUGUACUUAUACUCGGGAGUCAGACUGCGAGUGAUAAGAUCCGUAGUCGAAAGGGAAACAGCCCAGACCACCAGUUAAGGUCCCCAAAUAUAUGUUAAGUGGAAAAGGAUGUGGGGUUGCUUAGACAACCAGGAUGUUGGCUUAGAAGCAGCCACCAUUGAAAGAGUGCGUAAUAGCUCACUGGUCGAGUGACCCCGCGCCGAAAAUGUACCGGGGCUAAACAUAUUACCGAAACUGUGGAUGAACCUCUUUAGAGGUUCGUGGUAGGAGAGCGUUCUAAGGGCGGUGAAGUCAGACCGGAAGGACUGGUGGAGCGCUUAGAAGUGAGAAUGCCGGUAUGAGUAGCGAAAGAAGGGUGAGAAUCCCUUCCACCGAAUAUCUAAGGUUUCCUGAGGAAGGCUCGUCCGCUCAGGGUUAGUCGGGACCUAAGCCGAGGCCGAUAGGCGUAGGCGAUGGACAACAGGUAGAGAUUCCUGUACCAGUGCUAAUUGUUUAACCGAUGGGGUGACACAGAAGGAUAGGGAAUCGCACGAAUGGAAAUGUGCGUCCAAGCAGUGAGUGUGAGAAGUAGGCAAAUCCGCUUCUCGCGAAGCAUGAGCUGUGAUGGGGAAGGAAAUUAAGUACGGAAGUUCCUGAUUUCACGCUGUCAAGAAAAGCCUCUAGGAAGAGUAGUACUGCCCGUACCGCAAACCGACACAGGUAGAUGAGGAGAGAAUCCUAAGGUGAGCGAGAGAACUCUCGUUAAGGAACUCGGCAAAAUGACCCCGUAACUUCGGGAGAAGGGGUGCUCUAUUAGGGUGCAAGCCCGAGAGAGCCGCAGUGAAUAGGCCCAGGCGACUGUUUAGCAAAAACACAGGUCUCUGCAAAACCGUAAGGUGACGUAUAGGGGCUGACGCCUGCCCGGUGCUGGAAGGUUAAGAGGAGUGCUUAGCUUCGGCGAAGGUACGAAUUGAAGCCCCAGUAAACGGCGGCCGUAACUAUAACGGUCCUAAGGUAGCGAAAUUCCUUGUCGGGUAAGUUCCGACCCGCACGAAAGGCGCAACGAUCUGGGCACUGUCUCAACGAGAGACUCGGUGAAAUUAUAGUACCUGUGAAGAUGCAGGUUACCCGCGACAGGACGGAAAGACCCCGUGGAGCUUUACUGCAACCUGAUAUGGAAUGUUUGUACCGCUUGUACAGGAUAGGUAGGAGCCGAAGAGACGUGUGCGCUAGCAUACGAGGAGGCAAUGGUGGGAUACUACCCUGGCUGUAUGACCAUUCUAACCCGCCACGCUUAGCGCGUGGGGAGACAGUGUCAGGUGGGCAGUUUGACUGGGGCGGUCGCCUCCUAAAGAGUAACGGAGGCGCCCAAAGGUUCCCUCAGAAUGGAUGGAAAUCAUUCGCAGAGUGUAAAGGCACAAGGGAGCUUGACUGCGAGACUGACAAGUCGAGCAGGGACGAAAGUCGGGCUUAGUGAUCCGGUGGUUCCGCAUGGAAGGGCCAUCGCUCAACGGAUAAAAGCUACCCCGGGGAUAACAGGCUUAUCUCCCCCAAGAGUCCACAUCGACGGGGAGGUUUGGCACCUCGAUGUCGGCUCGUCGCAUCCUGGGGCUGUAGUCGGUCCCAAGGGUUGGGCUGUUCGCCCAUUAAAGCGGCACGCGAGCUGGGUUCAGAACGUCGUGAGACAGUUCGGUCCCUAUCCGUCGCGGGCGCAGGAAAUUUGAGAGGAGCUGUCCUUAGUACGAGAGGACCGGGAUGGACACACCGCUGGUGUACCAGUUGUUCCGCCAGGAGCAUCGCUGGGUAGCUAUGUGUGGCAGGGAUAAACGCUGAAAGCAUCUAAGCGUGAAGCCCCCCUCAAGAUGAGAUUUCCCAUUUCUUCGGAAAGUAAGAUCCCUGAAAGAUGAUCAGGUAGAUAGGUUUGGAGUGGAAGUGUAGCGAUACAUGGAGCGGACAAAUACUAAUCGAUCGAGGACUUAACCAAAA
rnacentral:rRNA from 1 species